rnacentral:tRNA from 1 species
GAUUUAUAGCUCAGUGGUAGAGCAUCGGCACGCUAUGCCGAAAGUUAAGGGUUCAAAUCCCAAAUAAGUCG